AGUGAACGCUGGCGGUAGGCCUAACACAUGCAAGUCGAACGGCAGCACAGUAAGAGCUUGCUCUUACGGGUGGCGAGUGGCGGACGGGUGAGGAAUACAUCGGAAUCUACUUUUUCAUGGGGGAUAACGUAGGGAAACUUACGCUAAUACCGCAUACGACCUACGGGUGAAAGCAGGGGAUCUUCGGACCUUGCGCGAUUGAAUGAGCCGAUGUCGGAUUAGCUAGUUGGCGGGGUAAAGGCCCACCAAGGCGACGAUCCGUAGCUGGUCUGAGAGGAUGAUCAGCCACACUGGAACUGAGACACGGUCCAGACUCCUACGGGAGGCAGCAGUGGGGAAUAUUGGACAAUGGGCGCAAGCCUGAUCCAGCCAUACCGCGUGGGUGAAGAAGGCCUUCGGGUUGUAAAGCCCUUUUGCUGGGAAAGAAAAGCAGCAGGUUAAUACCCCGCUGUUCUGACGGUACCCAAAGAAUAAGCACCGGCUAACUUCGUG
rnacentral:rRNA from 1 species